rnacentral:rRNA from 1 species
UAACUGUCUCUUACAGGCAAUCGGUGAAAUUGAUCUCCCUGUGCAAAAGCAGGGAUAACCACAUAAGACGAGAAGACCCUGUGGAACUUCAAAAACAGCAACCACCCCAACAUACAUUCACACCCACCCCGGGCGCACUUACCCCCCCAAAGCACUGGUUCGCAUUUUUUCGGUUGGGGCGACCUUGGAGCAAAACAAAACCUCCAAAAACUGGACCAUCCAUCCAAACUAAGAGCAACCCCUCAACGUGCCAAGAGCACCCAGACCCAAUAUAAUUGAUCAAUGGACCAAGCUACCCCAGGGAUAACAGCGCAAUCUCCUCCGAGAGUCCAUAUCGACAAGGAGGUUUACGACCUCGAUGUUGGAUCAGGACAUCCUAGUGGUGCAGCCGCUACUAAGGGUUCGUUUGUUCAACGAUUAACAGUCCUACGUGAUCUGAGUUCAGACCGGAGCAAUCCAGGUCGGUUUCCAUCUAUGAAGAACUCUUCCUCGUACGAAAGGAUCGGAAAAGUGAGGCCAAUACCACAAGCAAGCCUUCGCCUUAAGUAAUGAAACCAACUUAAUUACAAAAGGCUAUCACACUCCACCACGUCCUAGAAAAGG